ACACUCUGGAGAGUCCCGCGGGUUUUCCCGGCGGGCGCCGAAGGUGUAAGGACGUAAGUCCCAAUCUCUCAGGCAAAAGGACAGAGCAUAA
rnacentral:ncRNA from 1 species